GUCAGCUCGUGCCGUGAGGUGUCGGCUUAAGUGCCAUAACGAGCGCAACCCUUAUCUUCAGUUACUAACAGGUCAUGCUGAGGACUCUGGAGAGACUGCCGUCGUAAGAUGUGAGGAAGGUGGGGAUGACGUCAAAUCAGCACGGCCCUUACGUCCGGGGCUACACACGUGUUACAAUGGGGGGUACAGAAGGCCGCUACCUGGUGACAGGAUGCCAAUCCCAAAAACCUCUCUCAGUUCGGAUCGAAGUCUGCAACCCGACUUCGUGAAGCUGGAUUCGCUAGUAAUCGCGCAUCAGCCAUGGCGCGGUGAAUACGUUCCCGGGCCUUGUACACACCGCCCGUCAAGCCAUGAAAGCCGGGGGUACCUGAAGUACGUAACCGCAAGGAGCGUCCUAGGGUAAAACUGGUAAUUGGGGCUAAGUCGUAACAAGGUAGCCGUACCGGAAGGUGCGGCUGGAUCACCUC
rnacentral:rRNA from 1 species